AGCAAUGAAGUAAUGAAUACACUUAGUUUCGACCUAAAAAAAGAAUCUUUAUUCCUUUGUUU
rnacentral:tRNA from 2 species